UUUUUUUCUUCUAUCCCCUAUAGCAGGGUUUACAAUUUACACUGGAAGUUUCAUGUGCCAUGGCCCCUACAAGCUUGCAGUGGCUAGUAGUUUUUAAGGCCUGACUAGUAGCUUAGGACUUGAAAUUGUAAACCUUGCCCCAGAGAGUACAUUGAAAUAAACUGAAGGUUGUUGAUGAUUAUUUUGUAGUUAUCAGGUUCAGCCUGCAGGUGGUGCAUUCUGCAUAGCAAACAUCAUUCUUCAUUUGCAUCUGCUGCUGUAGAAUCUUUUCCAGCAUGUUCAAUGUGGGGUUACAGGAAAUGGCAAAGAUCUGUUUCUAUUGCUCCAGCCUCCAGCUUCAGGUUUUGGCAAGCCUUGAAGCUGUGAUGAUGGUAAAACCCCCUCUACUGGUAACAACAAGCAAAGUAACAGAAACUAACAUUGCCACCUACAAAGCAAUGAAAUGAGCAUAAUUCACUAUGUUAUCAGAUCUGAUAUCUUACUAAACCUGAUAAUGACAUUACAUUGCCAUUUAACUGAUUAGCAUAAUUGCAUUUCAGCUGGAAACUUUUGCCAUAGGGAGAAAAACAAACAAAAAAAUAGCCAAAAUAUUAUUUGCUCCUUCAAAAGCAGUAAUAAAUGCUUCUAAUCCAAUGGGCUAAGGUCAGGGAAAGUGUGUAGUGGACCUUCAGUAAAGUUUUUUCCAAAUUUCUAUUUCAAAUUGCUAGGAGACAGCUGAUGGAAAUUCAAUAAAUCUACAGAGGAAAAUGAAUUUUAAAAAAUGCAAAAGUAUAACAUGAGAUGAUACAGAAGUACACAUUGUAAUUAAUGUACUCACAAACAUAAAAGUGAGAAAAGACUUGAAUAUUUCAAGUGAUGACUCCCGGGAAUCUUAAAGGACCACUAUAGUGCCAGGAAAACAUACUCAUUUUCCUGGCACUAUAGUGCCCUGAGGGUGCCCCCACCCUCAGGGUCCCACUCCCGCCGGG